GCGAGAGUGGUGAAACUGGCAUACACGCUAGACUUAGGAUCUAGUGCUUCGGCUUGAGGGUUCAAGUCCCUCCUCUCGCA
rnacentral:tRNA from 1 species